UGGGGAAUAUUGCACAAUGGGCGCAAGCCUGAUGCAGCCAUGCCGCGUGUGUGAAGAAGGCCUUCGGGUUGUAAAGCACUUUCAGCGAGGAGGAAGGCGUUAAGGUUAAUAACCUUAGCGAUUGACGUUACUCGCAGAAGAAGCACCGGCUAACUCCGUGCCAGCAGCCGCGGUAAUACGGAGGGUGCAAGCGUUAAUCGGAAUUACUGGGCGUAAAGCGCACGCAGGCGGUUUGUUAAGUCAGAUGUGAAAUCCCCGAGCUUAACUUGGGAACUGCAUUUGAAACUGGCAAGCUAGAGUCUUGUAGAGGGGGGUAGAAUUCCAGGUGUAGCGGUGAAAUGCGUAGAGAUCUGGAGGAAUACCGGUGGCGAAGGCGGCCCCCUGGACAAAGACUGACGCUCAGGUGCGAAAGCGUGGGGCAGCAAACAGGAUUAGAUACCCUGGUAGUCCACGCUGUAAACGAUGUCGAUUUGGAGGUUGUGGGCUUGACCCGUGGCUUCCGGAGCUAACGCGUUAAAUCGACCGCCUGGGGAGUACGGCCGCAAGGUUAAA
rnacentral:rRNA from 1 species